GGCCCCAUCGACUAGUGGUCAAGGUCGUCACCCUCUCAAGGUGGAGACACGGGUUCGAAUCCCGUUGGGGCUACCA
rnacentral:tRNA from 1 species